UAAUGAAGUAUAGUUGAUUUACAAUAUUGUGUUAUUGGGAGUACAGCAAAGUUAUUUGCUUAUACAUAUAUAUUAUUUUUUUCGAUUCUUCUCAAGAUAUUAAACAUAGUUACCUGUAUUAUAUAUAAGUCCUUGUCGUUAAUCUAUUUUACAUAUCCGUUGAUUCCAUACUCAUAAUUUAUCUCUCCCUCACACCUUCCCCUUUGGUAACCAUAAGUUUGUUUUCUAUGUCCACAUACGCAUUUUAUUUUUGCAGAAACUAGAAUCAUAUUCUGCAUGAAAGUUUUGAAAGCUACUCUUAUGCUUAAUAAUCUAAUAUACUGUUAGCAUCUUUACUUAUCGUUAAAUCAUCCAUAAUCACAAUGUUGUUGUCCACAUAGGGUAUUAGCAUAUCUCCAUAGACAGAAAGUGAAGUCGUUCAGUCGUGUCUGACUCUUUGCGAGCCCAUGGACUAUAGCCUACCAGGCUCCUCCGUCGAUGGGAUUUUCCAGGCAAGAGUACUGGAGUGGGCUGCCAUUCUCUUUUCCAGGGGAUCUUGCCGACCCAGGGAUCGAAUCCGGUCUCCCGCAUUGUAGGCAGAGGCGUUUACCAUCUGAGCCACCAGGGAAGUCCAUAGUGCAUAGAUAUGCUAAUAUAUCAUAAAUCAGCAUUCCCUCAUUUUUGGAUGUGUUAAAUAAUUUGUAUUAAAUUAUGCUGUAAUGAGUAUCUGUGUUUCAGAGUCAUUACAAACAUUUGUUGAUAUGUUAAAUUUUGAAGAAAUGUCCAUUCUGUUCUCAUUACAUUGUUUGAAUCCUAAUGAUAAUUACUGUGUAUAUAAGUCCCUUUGAAAAUAGUUUGUCACAUACAGAAAGGUAAUUUCUUGAAUGGCAGUUCAUAUGUAAAUUCCUUCUUUUUCCUUCCUUCCUCCUUCCUCCAUCCCUCUUUCUUUCUUUUUCUUUUUUCUUCUCCUCUCCAUCCCUGGCUCAUCCUCCUCCCACUUCUUUCUCCCUCUUUGUUUCUUCCUCACCUUCUUCAUGCUCUCUUUUGCCAAUUAUGUUUGAUGAUAAACUGAGGCAUUAUUUGAAUUACUGCAGGUUCCUUUCUAAAGCAGACAGUAUGACUAAAAAUGCAUAAGGAUAGAUUUCUUUUUUGGGGACUGUGGAUAGUGAUGGGAACAGCUGGGAUGGAAAUUGAAGGAAAUGGCAGGGACAUUUAAAUAGAUAUAAAUGGAGUUGUUUAGCACAAAACUUAGAAUUUCUUCUGGUAGGCGAAUACAUUAGAAGAGAGUAUAUUUUUUCCUUAUAAAUAUAAAAUGCUAAAUCUUAAAACCAUCUGUGCUCUUUCUGAAAGUUUAAAAUUUGAAUUUAGGUAAGUCAAAGUGAAAAUGUUCAUGUGUUGCCAAGCAACAUGGCUAAAUCUAAGAUCUCACAAUCAAGUGCCAUAAAAAAUGUUGACUACAAUAAGUGUGUCCCCAAAGCCAGUGAGUCAGCAUGAGCUAUUUCAGGAGGAGUUUGCAGGGAGCCCAGAAAAAGUCCCCAAUGAGGGUAAAAUUGUCUUCAAGCCAUUUUGCCUUUCUUUUGCAGUGCAAAUCCUUGUACCUCAACUCACUGUUUCCCAAAUCAGAUACAGGCAAGGAGAUCAAAUGUAUCCUGUUCCAUCCCAUAAAGUUGCUCUCCGUGAAGUGAGAGGAUCACCUCAAUAUGCAGACACUAGGAGCCUAUACCCUUACUCAGAGGGCAGAAGCCCAUGGCUAGAGUCGAUGAACUGGAAAGUCGAAGUUCCAUCUAGAUCUCCACAUCAGAAUGAAGAUCAAGAAGAGGAUUAGAAUGCAUGCCUGUGUUAUUAUUCCUGGAAAUGUUCCAUCUAAAUUCAGAUAGCUCUUUUUUUUUUUUACCCACUCAUUGAUUCUACCUGUGGUUUUUUGUUUGUUGGUUUCUCCCAAAAUUCUUUUUUGAAAUGGAAUUUGUUGAAGACGAGUAUUUGUCACUUUUUUUUUUAAUGUGUCUGGCCACAUGGAACUUCUGGAAAUUCUAAGAAAAUGAUUUAAAAUUGUUAGCUGGGUGUCUUCCCCAUCUCUGAAGAUCUACAUUUACUUAAAAGUUGAAGAAAUUUAAGCCUUGAUUUCCUAUGGGGUAAAGAACGAAGAUUGGUGGAAAUAAGUGACCCAGAAGAAAGUUUUCUUCUCUGACAUAAGACUCAGGCAAGAAUGAGAAGCUUAGCAUGCAUGGGAAAUAAAACCUAUGAAUUCUUUACCAGCUGAGCCAUGAGGAAAGCCCAGAAAAUAAAACAAAAGUAUAUGGUUUAAAAAAUAACAUGUCUGAGGAGGAAUCAUCAUAAUUUUUGGAUGCUUGCCUUCAUAUCCCAGAAGCCCUAUUGUGAAGAAGCCCAGACCACAUGGAGAGGCCAUACAUAAGUGCUCCAGUCCAGAACCUUUGCUUAAGUCUCAGUUUGCAGCCAUCAUUGACCUGUGCAUGAACAAGAUCUCAGAUGAUUCCAGUCCCCAGCCUUUGAGUUUUCUAGACUUUAUGGAUUAGUUUUCCCUCAGGACCCACAUUUCCAAGAAUCUCUAAUUUUAUGGAAAUAAAUGCAGUGCAAAAUGAAAGCCUCCCUGGAAGGCAUUUACCUGCUCCCUUCUCUCUUUCUCCCUAGAGGUUUGAAAUAAUAUCAACAUGUAUAUAUUGGAGCUUUCUUUAUUUGAUAUACUAUCCGGAAAUUCAAGUCAAAAUUCAAGAAUAAAUUGAUGGAAACACUGGGAUGAAAUCACCCAGGUUUGAAGACAGGAAAAUUUUACCCUACACAGAAGCUUUUAUAAAUGAAAUAUUCAGGCAUACCUCCUUUUUCCCUUUUACUAUUCCUCAUUGUACUACAGCAGACACUACUCUGAAUGGCUAUUUCAUUCCCAGGAAAACAUGCACCUUUAUUCAUAUGUAUCAAGUAAAUCAUGAUGAGUCUAUGACCUCCGGUGCAGAGAAAACAAAGUUUUCUCCUAGGAAGAGGGUGACAUCUACAGACAAAGAGACCCAGUUCUUCCUGAAGUCAGAACUAUUUGGGAUAAUCCCAAUUUACUUAGACCUGAGAGAUCUCUGAAUGAAAACAGGGAACUGAAUAAAAGUCUUAUUGAGAAAGUCUUCAUUUUUGGAAUGGGAAUCCAGAAGUGUCUCAGAGAAGAGGUUGCAUGAAAUGAAGUAUUCGUUUUCAUCACCACAGUUCUGCAACAGCUCACACUGAAGAAAUGCCCUGUGGUCAAGCUUGACCUGACACCCACAUAUGGAUUAGUCACGAAGCCAAAACCACACCAACUUUGAGCAGAGCCCUGUUCCAUGGGUAGUUCCUGUUCUUAGAUUCUCAGACCAGAUGGAAGUUUUGUUGUUUAAUUUAGAAAAAUGUGGGGCUUCAAAUGCACUUAGCAAGCAGUUUAUUAAUAAAAUUCAUCCCUCUAAGCUCAGUUCAGUUCGUUGUAUGUCAUCCUAGUGUUGUGGUUUUUUAAGUGUAUGGUGUAGCCUGCCUCCUCAUAUGAGAGCUCUUAUCUUAUGAGGAUAUUUUAAGAUAAUGAAGUGUAAUGUGAUGCAAGGGUUUUAAACCCAUGUCUCAUGCGCUGGUGUCCCAAGUGUCACUGUGAGCAAUGGAGAAGGGAAUGAAUGAGCACUGGUAGAUGGAGCAAGCAGGCAAGGGGCUUCCAUCUUCCUUCCCUCUGUGCCAGCUUCAGUAGACAAAUAUACUGAUAUUAGUUUUCAACAUUGGGGUCAGAAUAAGAACAAAGUUCUGAUGUUGAAUAUAUUUCUUUCCACUGGAUGUGGAACUAGGUACUCAAGAGGUCCAGAGAAGGGAGUUAAAGUUGCCCAGAGCAGUGGAGAACAUUUCAUGGGAUAAUAGAUGAGCUGUGCUAGAUUUGGAGAGACGGGGGAAAGCAUGUAAAGAGGGGAUGGAUUCAAAAUCCAUUUUUAUAUUGGCUCUAUGUUUUCUGGAUUAUGAAUUUAACUUCAGGGCAAAUUGGUAUUUUUGCAAUGUUAUCAGUUCCUUUUGAUAACUUAUUAAAUAUACAUGUGUAUUAGUUUGCAAGGGCUGCUGCCGAAAUAAAAUAUUAAUACCACAGUC